rnacentral:rRNA from 1 species
UCUAGCCAUGCCGCGUGAGUGACGAAGGACUUAGGGUCGUAAAGCUCUUUCGCCAGGGAUGAUAAUGACAGAACCUGGUAAAGAAACCCCGGCUAACUCCGUGCCAGCAGCCGCGGUAAUACGGAGGGGGUUAGCGUUGUUCGGAAUUACUGGGCGUAAAGGGCGCGUAGGGGAUUGGAAAGUUGGGGGUGAAAUCCCGGGGCUCAACCCCGAACUGCCUCCAAAACUAUCAGUCUAGAGUUCGAGAGAGGUGAGUGGAAUUCCAAGUGUAGAGGUGAAAUUCGUAGAUAUUUGGAGGAACACCAGUGGCGAAGGGGCUCACUGGCUCGAUACUGACGCUGAGGUGCGAAAGUGUGGGGAGCAAACAGGAUUAGAUACCCUGGUAGUCCACACCGUAAACGAUGAAUGCCAGACGUCGGGGGGCUUGCCUUCGGUGUCACACCUAACGGAUUAAGCAUUCCGCCUGGGGAGUACGGUCGCAAGAUUAAAACUCAAAGGAAUUGACGGGGGCCCGCACAAGCGUGGAGCAUGUGGUUUAAUUCGAAGCAACGCGCAGAAACCUUACCAACCCUUGACAUCCUGGGACCGCCAGAGAGAUCUGG